UACGGAGGGUGCAAGCGUUAUCCGGAUUUACUGGGUUUAAAGGGUGCGUAGGCGGGUUGAUAAGUCAGUGGUGAAAGCCCCGGGCCUAACUCGGGAACUGCCAUUGAUACUAUCAAUCUUGAAUUCAGUUGAGGUGGGCGGAAUGUGUCGUGUAGCGGUGAAAUGCUUAGAUAUGACACAGAACACCAAUUGCGAAGGCAGCUCGCUAAACUGACAUUGACGCUGAGGCACGAAAGCGUGGGGAU
rnacentral:rRNA from 1 species